ACUCCUACGGGAGGCAGCAGUGGGGAAUAUUGGACAAUGGGCGCAAGCCUGAUCCAGCCAUGCCGCGUGCGUGAUGACGGCCCUAGGGUUGUAAAGCUCUUUCACCGGUGAAGAUAAUGACGGUAACCGGAGAAGAAGCCCCGGCUAACUUCGUGCCAGCAGCCGCGGUAAUACGAAGGGGGCUAGCGUUGUUCGGAUUUACUGGGCGUAAAGCGCACGUAGGCGGACUAUUAAGUCAGGGGUGAAAUCCCGGGGCUCAACCCCGGAACUGCCUUUGAUACUGGUAGUCUUGAGUUCGAGAGAGGUGAGUGGAAUUCCGAGUGUAGAGGUGAAAUUCGUAGAUAUUCGGAGGAACACCAGUGGCGAAGGCGGCUCACUGGCUCGAUACUGACGCUGAGGUGCGAAAGCGUGGGGAGCAAACAGGAUUAGAAACCCCGGUAGUCCCAUGA
rnacentral:rRNA from 1 species